CCUACAGGGGGCAGCAGUGGGGAAUAUUGCACAAUGGGGGAAACCCUGAUGCAGCGACGCCGCGUGAGUGAAGAAGCGUUUCGGCGCGUAAAGCUCUGUCAGCGGGGAAGAAACACGGUUCGCGAGAACCGCGGACGGUACCCGACCAAGAAGCCCCGGCUAACUACGUGCCAGCAGCCGCGGUAAUACGUAGGGGGCAAGCGUUAUCCGGAUUUACUGGGUGUAAAGGGAGCGUAGACGGCUGUGCAAGUCUGAAGUGAAAUGCCGGGGCCCAACCCCGGGACUGCUUUGGAAACUGUACAGCU
rnacentral:rRNA from 1 species